rnacentral:rRNA from 1 species
UACGUAGGGUGCGAGCGUUGUCCGGAAUCACUGGGCGUAAAGGGCGCGUAGGCGGCGCGGGCAGUCAACGGUGAAAGCUCGGAGCUCAACUCCGAGUCGGCCGUCGAUACUCCCGUGCUUGAGCACUGUAGAGGCAGAUGGAAUUCCGGGUGUAGCGGUGGAAUGCGUAGAGAUCCGGAAGAACACCGGUGGCGAAGGCGGUCUGCUGGGCAGUAGCUGACGCUGAUGCGCGACAGCGUGGGGAGCAAACAGG